UGAAUUCGUGCAAAAUUUAG
rnacentral:siRNA from 1 species